ensembl:lincRNA AU022754 expressed sequence AU022754
GUCCGCGGACCGCGCUGUCCCUGCUGCGUAUUGGCUCCGCGCCCCUCCGGAGGAUCUCUGGCUCCGGGGGGGGGGGCUCGGUUGGGUCUCAACGAGGCUGGGACCAGGGCCGGAGAUACCAGCCAGCCCGGCCACUUCAAGAAACGCCCUCCCCCACCAACUCCGGUCCCCAGGUCCGCUGGAGGCUGCCGGUUCCCCGUCUGCCGCCCCCCGCCCACAGGAAUACUCACCCGAGCUUCACGUAGAGGACGCCAAAGCAGAGAAACACACAUCUUUCCCCUAGACGUUACCUACGUGGGUGCUUCCAGGGCCACACUCUGGAUCAGGCAUUGUUACCUGCCCAACAAACUUCGGCGAAAACUUGUUCCAGCUCCUGGCACUGCAGAGCGCAAGCAGAGCGUGGGACUUGAGACUGGUAGACACACCAGCCUGCCUAGCAUUAAAAGUGGCACCACGACAGAAACUCAGAAAGGCAUCGUUAGAGAGUCCCAAUCUGAGCAUUCUGUCUUACUCUGCAGGCCUGUCCGAUGCGGGCUUCAGAUCUGAUUCUUGUUGAACCGCUAAAGUGUGAAGUCAGACUUGCCUAGGUGCCUGGCACAUCCUGUGUGUGUCUCGCUUGAUCCUAUCCUGGAUAAAUGGGUGACAAGGACACUGCCUGUCACAGCUAGGACUGUCCUAGCUCAGCAGACCAGCUAGUAACCAGACAUGGUGGGGAGGGGAGGCCCAAGCCAGGUUUUCAAGCGUCUUCAGCCCUGGACAGCAGCAUCAAAAGGCGCCCUUACGACAAGGGGAUGAACUCGAAGGGCGCUGGUCUUUAAAGACUUGCCAACACCCAAUUGCCUGGUGUGGAAAUGAGGAUGGGGUAUGAGGGGGCGCUGUCCUCAGCCCGGAACCUCGAGCUCAAAAGCUACUGUCCCUGCCCCUAAUCCCCUCUUAAUCUCUCCAAAUCCUCUGAACUUUUGCCACGACCAGACCCGGGAGAGAGAGACGCUCCUGAACCCCAGGUCCAGAAGCCGGCAGGUGCAGCUGUGCAGAUCGUUUUGAGUUGGAGGACUCUUUAGAAAGGGGAGUUUGGACAUCACAAGCAGGGAAACUAAGGCACGGAUGUCAAACGGUAGUUGCAGUCCCACACCACUGUCCCCUGAAACCAAGAACUCUGGACGUCCCACAACUUGGUAGGCAGGGAGCUGAGCUGGGCCAGGUGGCUGGGAGCAAGCAGAACAGCCUGGGAGCUUGGCAGGUGGAUGCUGCCACCCUGUGGCGACAGGGAGCGAAGCUUGCCGCCAGAACUGGAAUUGAGAUGUUUAGGGAUUCCUCACCUUGUCUUGGAGUCUGGGGGCGAUUCCACCGUUCCCACCAACAGCCCCUGUCUUGGGGGUCUGUUAAUGAGACAAAAUAUUUAUGUGGAUGCAGCAGGGCUGGAAUAGCAACAACAUCUACGUAUGCCCCCUCCUCCCUGCAAACAAACAAACAAACAAACAAACAAACCCUGGGGUCUUAAGAUUCCCAACCCAUCUCCAGCCCUGUCAGAUCGAGAGACCCAAGGUAGGGUUGGCCUUGGGAUUCUCUAGGAGGGUUAUGUCCGAGAAAAGUGGGUACUUCUAUUGGUAGACGGGACCAGACCUGCUUCUAGGCCUUAGUUUCCCCAAAACAGAAUGCAGGGUUGUCGAAGUACCACAUAGGGUCUAUAGCACAGCGAUGUGCCUCCCCCUGCCGGCAGCAGGUGGGAAGCAGCACCGCCCAAGCAUCCUAGGAGACCCAUAACCACAAAGGGGCUCCUACCCAUUAUUUGACCUUGCAGCUUGAAGAAGAUGGGUUAAAGCUUAGCUCCAAGGUCCCCCACAUCUGCCUGUGGGAUAAGGUGGGGACUUGCUUCUACCGGGGAGCUUCUCUCAGAAGGGCUAGGUUGGGCUUGGUAUGAAGAAGACAGAAGUCUCCAGAGCCAGGACAGCUUGAGGGUCUGGUUAUCUGUGGGUUCAGCCAGGCUCAGCUAUCCUUGCCCGUGCUUCCUUGUCGUCAUUGUCGCUGCUGCCGCCGCCGCCGCCGCCGCCAUCGUCAUUGUUCCUAUACUCCAUGGUGUUUGUAGUGGCUAUUCCUGGUUGUCAACUUGACUAUAUCUGGAAUGGACUACAAUCCAGAAGCCAAUGGCUCACCUGUGAUCCUAAUCUGGAGGCUGAGAGAUACAAGUUUCUGACCUGGAUCUUGACAUGGAGAUCUUGAGGCAUAGUGGCUAUGAAUUCUAGAAGAUUAAGACAGGGAGNNNNNNNNNNNNNNNNNNNNNNNNNNNNNNNNNNNNNNNNNNNNNNNNNNNNNNNNNNNNNNNNNNNNNNNNNNNNNNNNNNNNNNNNNNNNNNNNNAGCAACUUCUAGAUCCUUGGACUUCUAUUCACAGCUGCUGCUGACCAUGGUUGGGAGUUGGACUACAGACUGAACUCUUGAGUCUACCACAUGAUGCCAAGCCUCAACUUCUCUCCACAGUCCAUUCAAUCCUGGGGCUUUACUUCAGCUGAGGCAUUCAUGGAUGAGCAGGCUCCUUUGCUGUUUGGCAACUUAACAGAAGCUAGAGUCCUCUGGGAAGAGGGAACCUCCAUUGAGAAAAUGCCUCCAUCACGCCGGACUAAGUGGGCAAGGACAUCUACCUGCUGCUGCUGCUGCCGCCACUGCAGCCACCACCGCCGGCAUUGUUUGCUAACAUCAGAGCCCAGCUUCUUUGGCCUUCCAAUGUGAGCUAAAGACCAGCAGCUCUCCAGAAAGUUCUCCAAGCUUGUGGCACCAGAUUGGGCCUGCUGAGACACCCAGCCUCCUGGGUUCCCAGCCUCUCUGGUUGCAGAUGGCCACAGGUGGCCUACCUAGGCCCUGCCUCAUAAGCCACUCUAAUCAAUCCCUUUAGUAAUAUGC